UGUAAGGCUAAAGUGCCAAUCUUUUAGUGAAAUCAGUGCAAUUUUAUAAAUUCUUUUUUUUCUGUUUUUACACUUCAUCAUUUAACGUUCUAUUGACUAAAUAACAGGGUUGAAACUGAUUUUGUCCAUGGCCCUUUAACAUUGUAAUUGGAAAGUAUAACGUUAAAACAUAUUUCAGAAAUGUUUAAUGAUAUAUUCGGGGUAGUGGUCUGGAAAGGUAUAAUCGAGGAUAAACCCCCAGAUCCGGAGGAAAUACUGGGAAAUACAGGCAACAAGAAAAGGUCAGAAAGGGAGACAGCAUAGCUUGGCUGGUCAACCUGGAGAUCAGAGGCAGAGUUCUGGUGGAGGACAGAGAAGCAGAAGCAAAAACAGUGGAACCAGUCCUCUAAUGUUCCUUGCUAAUGAAAUAUAGAGUCACUUUGGUACUGAUAUUGCACAAUCAAGAUCCAAAGACUCAGGAAACAAUGAAUAUGUAUUUUCUUCCAAGUGAGGAAAUAAUUCCAAAAGUUAAAACUCCUAUGGGGAAGACAAGAGUCGUCAACAAGGACGGAAAAAUGAUCUUCAAGGAUCAUAUACAUAAAUCAUAAUGUAUUUUCUCCCUAAGUGGGUUAAUCGUGAGAAAACUCCUAUGAUGUAAUUCUGUCAUCAUUCAUUGUCAUUAAUGAUGACUGAAUCAAAAUGGGGAUGUAACCAGUGUGAGCUCAAUAGCUUGGAAUAGCUUGAUGUAACCCCUUCAGUUCUCAUAAAACCUGGACCUAAACUCAGAGUGGAUUUGUCAUUAGAAAAUGCCAACCCAGAAAGCAAGCUGUGAUUGCAAGGAAAACGAUGCCACCGUUGCCCCAAAUCCUAGUUUGAAAUCAAGCCAAUAGGCAUGAACCACGGCUUAGAAGGAGAAAUUAGGAUCAGCCUGGGCUAAAAACGAAAUGGAGUCAGUAUUAGCGUAGAGUAUGAAGAUGGAAGAUUAACUCAUUUAACGAGGCGGAGAGUACAUCAUAGAGAUUUCCGCUUUCCAUGAUUAAUUUUAUUUGUUUAUUUUUACUUGAAAAUACAUUUUUUCUUAUA